CCUUAGUGCCAAAAUAAGUGCAGUUUUAUACUCGUCUUAUUUGAAAAAAAAUUAUGAUUAUUAUUUUUAUUGCUAUUAGAUGUAAAACAUGAAUAGUAUUUUAUGUGUGACUAAAUAUUUUUAAUUUUUUCACACAAUUUUCAAAUAAGACGAAUGGUUAAACGUUGGGCACGGAUAUCCAUGGCUGUACUUAUU
rfam:Oryza meridionalis cultivar OR44 (W2112) chromosome 11, whole genome shotgun sequence.